rnacentral:rRNA from 1 species
CAGCAGCCGCGGGAAUACGUAGGGUGCAAGCGUUAAUCGGAACUACUGGGCGUAAAGCGUGCGCAGGCGGUUAUAUAAGUCAGAUGUGAAAUCCCCGGGCUCAACCUGGGAACUGCAUUUGAGACUGUAUGGCUAGAGUGUGUCAGAGGGGGGUAGAAUUCCACGUGUAGCAGUGAAAUGCGUAGAUAUGUGGAGGAAUACCGAUGGCGAAGGCAGCCCCCUGGGAUAACACUGACGCUCAUGCACGAAAGCGUGGGGAGCAAACAGGAUUAGAUACCCGCGUAGUCCCUGUCUCUUAUAC